GGGACCGGAGAUGGCGCCACCCUAACGCCUCAGGGAGCCCGAGCCGCUGCCACCACCAGCAUUAUCAACAGACUAGGCCCUGCCAGGGACGCGCGCACACACUCCCUGGUGGCUGGGGUGGGCGGGUUGCGACUAUAGAACAGAACACACACGGAAGAGCUGUGGUCCCAGGGUCUGACGUUAUCUUGAAGCAAGCAGGUCUAGGUCCGGCCAGUCAGUGCCUGGAUGGGAGACUGCCUAGGAAUCCCACAUAACACCGCAUUGAGUUCCAGGAUGCCAGAAAGGCGAGGCAUACGUGUAAUAAAUAAUAAUAGGUAACCACAGGCAUAUUCAGAGAAGGCUGUGCUGAACAAAUUGAACUUGAGAGAAGAGAGGAUUUAUAAAGCAACUGCAGGAGAUACUUGUAAUAAAAUAUCUCCAGUGUUUCUGUUGUAAAAUGAGGGAUUUAGACAGAGGUAAUAAAUGUUUUGGGGAUGGUGGACAUUCAGAGCAGUAGUCAAAGUUUACUGCUUUGUGACUAAUCGUUACCUUUCAAAGGAAUUCAGAAUGGUCAACUAUGACCUCACAAUGUCUGUGGUGUAUCAGAGCAGUAACAUAAAUGGUCACCACAAAUGCACACACAAAAUAUCAUCCUGCAGCACCCACCACUUCAGUGAUUUUUCUGAAUGUAUAGAAUUUGACAUUAGCUUAUCUUUAUUAUGAAAAUACGGUUUCCUCCACCCCCGAGGUAUUGGCUUUUUUUUUUUUUUGCUGAAGUAUGCACUUCCCUGCUACUGUUUCCGUUCAAUAAGCUCAGCCAGAGACAAAUAUCAUAAAAGGCAUCAUCAUAAUUACUGGUCAUGGUUAAGCUUCAUAAUUUCCAUUCUGGCUUUGAGCAGAUCACUACUGAUUCCAUAUAAAAGCAUUAGAUUUUCCUUUAGUAUUAAAUUGUGGUUUAUUAAAUACGCAGAAUCACUAUUUUUUGUAGUUGUUCCCCACCAUUACAUAAAAAAACAAACAUGCACAAGAAAUUUGUCGUGUAGUCUUCGUUUUCUAAAGCAUGCCCAAUUCUGACAAACCAUAAUAUUAAAGAAACACGAAAAUAAGCUACCCAUUAGAUUAUAGCAAACUAGUUCAAGAGCUUUACCUUGUCUUUGAGAUCUUAUGACUAUGCAAUUCAUCUUGCAGCUAUGAGGGGAAACAGUCAGAGAUUAUGAGAGAAGCAGUUUGCUGACAAGUUGCAAUUAGUGAUACCCAUUGUUUACUCAAUUUGGAUUACACAGCAAACUAUUUUUACUGUUCCCAGAAGUGCAGGAGGUAAUUGGAGUGUGUAAGAGGAAAAGGGAACAUGUGAGAAGAGUGCUCUUGACAAAACUCAACCCAAUGAGUUAUUUUUGUGACUGUUUUUGGUUUUUUUUAAAGAACGAACACAGGAAGAUAUAAAUAACGGACAAAACAAUUGUGAUAUUUAGUAAGAUGUGUAAUCUAGUACACCAAAACAUUUUAGUGAAGAGUCAGGCAUACCUGCACAAAAAAGUAAGACAUAUAGCCUGUUCUAUUAGCAAAAGUGUGUGUAAGUUUACAUAAUCUUUUACUAACAGAAGCUGCUCUAACAAUUCUAUUAAAAAGUUAACGUUAUCUAA